rnacentral:rRNA from 1 species
GAUGAACGCUGGCGGCGUGCCUAAUACAUGCAAGUCGAGCGGAUUUCUUAAGAGCUUGCUCUUAAGAAAUUAGCGGCGGACGGGUGAGUAACACGUGGGUAACCUGCCCAUAAGACUGGGAUAACUCCGGGAAACCGGGGCUAAUACCGGAUAGCAUUUUGAACCGCAUGGUUCGAAAUUGAAAGGCGGCUUCGGCUGUCACUUAUGGAUGGACCCGCGUCGCAUUAGCUAGUUGGUGAGGUAACGGCUCACCAAGGCGACGAUGCGUAGCCGACCUGAGAGGGUGAUCGGCCACACUGGGACUGAGACACGGCCCAGACUCCUACGGGAGGCAGCAGUAGGGAAUCUUCCGCAAUGGACGAAAGUCUGACGGAGCAACGCCGCGUGAACGAUGAAGGCCUUCGGGUCGUAAAGUUCUGUUGUUAGGGAAGAACAAGUACAAGUUGAAUAAGCUUGUACCUUGACGGUACCUAACCAGAAAGCCACGGCUAACUACGUGCCAGCAGCCGCGGUAACAC